rnacentral:rRNA from 1 species
UACAUGGGGGUGCAAACGUUGCUCGGAAUCAUUGGGCGUAAAGCGCACGUAGGCGGUUCGUUAUGUCGGAUGUGAAAGCCCUCGGCUUAACCGGGGGAAGUGCAUCCGAAACUGGCGAGCUUGAGUACCAAAAGAGGGUCGCGGAAUUCCCCGGUGUAGAGGUGAAAUUCGUAGAUAUCGGGAGGAACACCAGCGGCGAAGGCGGCGACCUGGGUGGAUACUGACGCUGAGGUGCGAAAAGCGUGGGGGAGCAAACAGG